GACGUACCUCUGGUGUACCAGUUGUUCUGCCAAGGGCAUGGCUGGGUAGCUAUGUACGGAAUGGAUAAGCGCUGAAAGCAUCUAAGCGCGAAGCCAACUUCAAGAUAAGAUUUCCCACCGUAAGGGUAAGAUCCCAGGAAGACUACCUGGUUGAUAGGUCAAAGGUGUAAGUGCAGCAAUGUAUGUAGCUUAUUGAUACUAAUAGAUCGAGGACUUGACCAAG
rnacentral:rRNA from 1 species